rnacentral:rRNA from 1 species
GAUGAACGCUAGCGGGAGGCUUAACACAUGCAAGUCGAGGGGCAGCAUAAGGUAGCAAUACUUUGAUGGCGACCGGCGCACGGGUGAGUAACGCGUAUGCAACCUGCCUUUUACAGGAGGAUAGCUUCCGGAAACGGAAAUUAAUACUCCAUACAUUCAUUCAGAGGCAUCUCUGAUUGAUUAAAGCUCCGGCGGUAGAAGAUGGGCAUGCGUAACAUUAGUUAGUUGGUGAGGUAACGGCUCACCAAGGCGACGAUGUUUAGGGGUCCUGAGAGGGUUCACCCCCACACUGGUACUGAGACACGGACCAGACUCCUACGGGAGGCAGCAGUGAGGAAUAUUGGUCAAUGGGCGCAAGCCUGAACCAGCCAUCCCGCGUGCAGGAAGACAGCCCUAUGGGUUGUAAACUGCUUUUCUGAGGGAAGAAUAACCCCGAUUCGUACGGGGGAUGACGGUACCUCAGGAAUAAGCAUCGGCUAACUCCGUGCCAGCAGCCGCGGUAAUACGGANGAUGCAAGCGUUAUCCGGAUUCAUUGGGUUUAAAGGGUGCGUANGCGGACUUACAAGUCAGUGGUGAAAUCCUGCAGCUUAACUGCGGAACUGCCAUUGAAACUGUAAGUCUUGAGUCANGNUGANGUANGCGGAAUGUGUAAUGUAGCGGUGAAAUGCGUAGAUAUUACACAGAACACCGA